GGGCAUACCCGUAGACCCUGCCUGAUUGUACUCAUAGCCAGGUAGGGGGGACAGUGUAUGCAAGAGUAAUUGGGAGUCCAUGCCAGCUCUAGCCAGCUUAGUCAGUGGCUGGAUAAAUUGCAGUACUCCAACAUUC